rnacentral:lncRNA from 1 species
UACCGCUGUUUUUAUCCAGGUGUAUUGAUUUGCUCUAAUAUAAGAUAUUUUUUUUAGGCGAAUUCAAAAUCUGCUUAUAAAAUCUGGUAGAUUCUCUUAUUGGAUGGUUCCAGGAAAUGACUAAUGAACUGGUUUAAAUGUUAUUUUAUUUAAAAUUACAUAAGAAUAGAUCUUAAUUACCUAGGAGGUCUAGCCAGCAUUGAAAGGGUUAUUCUAACUGUCAGCUAAACUUUACGACCUUACGCUGCACUCUGAGGAAUUCUGUUCUCUGCGUGAAACUUUUUCUUUCUCUCUGUGAAAGAUAGUCAUAAAUCUAGUCUUGACAGAAAAUGCUGUUUAGCCAUUGAAACGUGUAUAGCCAUUCCUUUGUAUUGCAUACCAUUUUAUACUGGAUAUUCAUUGAUUAUUGUCACG